rnacentral:rRNA from 1 species
GUGUCAGCCGCCGCGGUAAUACGAAGGGGGCUAGCGUUGCUCGGAAUUACUGGGCGUAAAGGGAGCGUAGGCGGAUAGUUUAGUCAGAGGUGAAAGCCCAGGGCUCAACCUUGGAAUUGCCUUUGAUACUGGCUAUCUUGAGUAUGGAAGAGGUAUGUGGAACUCCGAGUGUAGAGGUGAAAUUCGUAGAUAUUCGGAAGAACACCAGUGGGGAAGGCGACAUACUGGUCCAUUACUGACGCUGAGGCUCGAAGGCGGGGGGAGCAAACAGGAUUA